AAUAGUACUAUUAAUAAUGGUGCUUUAUUCUAUCAGGUAGGUGGGGAAUAGUACUAUUAAUAAUGGUGCUUUAUUCUAUCAGGUAGGUGGGGAAUAGUACUAUUAAUAAUGGUGCUUUAUUCUAUCAGGUAGGUGGGGAAUAGUACUAUUAAUAAUGGUGCUUUAUUCUAUCAGGUAGGUGGGGAAUAGUACUAUUAAUAAUGGUGCUUUAUUCUAUCAGGUAGGUGGGGAAUAGUACUAUUAAUAAUGGUGCUUUAUUCUAUCAGGUAGGUGGGGAAUAGUACUAUUAAUAAUGGUGCUUUAUUCUAUCAGGUAGGUGGGGAAUAGUACUAUUAAUAAUGGUGCUUUAUUCUAUCAGGUAGGUGGGGAAUAGUACUAUUAAUAAUGGUGCUUUAUUCUAUCAGGUAGGUGGGGAAUAGUACUAUUAAUAAUGGUGCUUUAUUCUAUCAGGUAGGUGGGGAAUAGUACUAUUAAUAAUGGUGCUUUAUUCUAUCAGGUAGGUGGGGAAUAGUACUAUUAAUAAUGGUGCUUUAUUCUAUCAGGUAGGUGGGGAAUAGUACUAUUAAUAAUGGUGCUUUAUUCUAUCAGGUAGGUGGGGAAUAGUACUAUUAAUAAUGGUGCUUUAUUCUAUCAGGUAGGUGGGGAAUAGUACUAUUAAUAAUGGUGCUUUAUUCUAUCAGGUAGGUGGGGAAUAGUACUAUUAAUAAUGGUGCUUUAUUCUAUCAGGUAGGUGGGGAAUAGUACUAUUAAUAAUGGUGCUUUAUUCUAUCAGGUAUGUGGGAAGUGUGACAGCUGUGUUUGGUGUUAUAUUGUGUUCUAUCAGGUAUGUGGGAAGUGUUAUAGCUGUGUUGGGUUAUAUUGUGUUCUAUCAGGUAUGGGGAAGUGUUAUAGCUGUGUUGGGUUAUAUUGUGUUCUAUCAGGUAUGGGGAAGUGUUAUAGCUGUGUUGGG